CCAUGCAGCCGGGGAAGUAGCGGCUCCCUGUACCUGAAAUCCGCUAUAGCAGGGGUGAUGUUCUGUUUCGGGCAUUGCAUAUAAUCGCUGCCCGGGCAGACCGGUGUUGAAAUCUGGGUCUUGCGCAAUAGGAAUCUGUGAACCAUGUCAGGUCGGGAACGAAGCAGCAUUAAGCGGAACCUCCUAUGUGACGCAAGGGCACCUGGAUUGAGCCGGUAUGUCCGGUAACGGGUUUUAGUGUAAUGCACAACGCAGAACGCAUGG
rfam:Butyrivibrio sp. CAG:318 genomic scaffold, scf78